rnacentral:rRNA from 1 species
UCUACCCUGGGGUAUCCCCGAGUACCACGGGACACGUGGAAUCCUGUGGGAAUCUGGGUGGACCAUCAUCCAAGGCUAAAUACUCCUCAGUGACCGAUAGUGAACAAGUACCGUGAGGGAAAGGUGAAAAGUACCCCUGUGCGGGGAGUGAAAUAGUACCUGAAACCGUUUGCCUACAAGCAGUGGGAGCCCCGCACCCACUUCAGAUCAUAGGGAGCAAGGGAUGUAUUAUGUGUAUUUGCUGGUAAGUGAGAGAGGAGAGAGAUACAUAGGUUUUACAGAGGACUUGCGGAGAAGGGUUGAAGAACACAACAGAAGUGGAAGCAAGUACACGAAGGGUAGGAAAUGGAAGUUAGUAUACUAUGAGGCCUAUGCGAGUAGAGAGGAUGCUGUCAGGCGCGAGAAAAGGUUGAAGCAUGAUGGUAGGAGUCGUUAUGGGUUGAUGAGUAGAGUGGAGGGGAGCAUAGCUUCCGUGGUUUGAAGUGGGUGCGGGGUGACCGCGUGCCUUUUGCAUAAUGAGUCAGCGAGUUACUCUCUGUAGCGAGGUUAAGCCGCGAGGUGUAGCCGAAGCGAAAGCGAGUCUGAACAGGGCGUAUAGUUGCAGGGAGUAGACCCGAAGCCAGGUGAUCUAGCCAUGGCCAGGGUGAAGUCCUGGUAACGCGGGAUGGAGGCCCGAACCGCACAAGGUUGAAAACUUGUCGGAUGAGCUGUGGCUAGGGGUGAAAGGCCAAUCAAACCUGGAGAUAGCUGGUUCUCCCCGAAAUGCAUUGAGGUGCAGCCUGGCGGGAUGAAUGGCGGAGGUAGAGCACUGGAUGGGCUAGGGGUCUUAGCGGGCUACCAACCCCAACCAAACUCCGAAUGCCGUCAUAUCAACCGCUGGAGUGAGACUGUGGGAGAUAAGUUCCAUGGUCGAGAGGGAAAGAACCCAGACCGUCGGCUAAGGUCCCUAAGGGUAUGCUAAGUGGGAAAGGAUGUGGGGGUGCUCAGACAACCAGGAGGUUGGCUUAGAAGCAGCCAUCCUUUAAAGAAAGCGUAACAGCUCACUGGUCUAGCGCGCCUGCGCCGAAAAUUUAACGGGGCUCAAGCAUACCACCGAAGCCGCGGUAACGGGGGUCGGAUAUCAGAGAUCAGAGGUCAGAGAAGUGGCGAUAUACAAUUAUCAGGAUUUAGAAGUGUACAGGGAAGCUUUUGGGCUUGCGCUUGAGAUUCAUGAGGAAACGAAGGUUUUUCCUAGAGAGGAGCGUUAUGCUCUUGUGGAUCAGAUAAGGAGAAGUUCAAAGAGCAUAUGUGCAUUGAUAGCAGAGGGGUUUUCUCAGAAGAAGCGCAUGGCAGAGUUUAAGCGAUACCUUCGUAUGGCUCACGGAUCGAUUCAGGAGACGAAGGUGUGGUUGGAGUUUGCUGGUGCUCUUGGUUAUAUGGAGAAGGAUCGCUUCAGGGAAAUAUGGGAGUUGUAUGAUAAUUUAGGUAAGCGUUUAUAUCGUAUGAUAGAGACGUGGCAGUAAUUUUUUGAUAUCCGGAAUCAGACUUCUGACAUCUGAUAUCCGACCUCCGUUAGGUAGGGGAGCAUUCCAUAGGCCUGCGAAGCUGUGUCGUGAGGCACAGUGGAGGUAUUGGAAGGGAAGAUGCUGACAUGAGUAGUGAUAAAGUGGGUGAGAAACCCACUCGCCGUAAGCCUAAGGUUUCCUGGGUAAAGUUAAUCUGCUCAGGGUUAGUCGGUCCCUAAGCCGAGGCCGAGAGGCGUAGGUGAUGGGAAACAGGUUAAUAUUCCUGUACCACUGGGUAAGCAUUUGAGCGAUGGGGUGACGUAGAAGGGUAGGCCAUCCGGGUGAUGGAAGUCCCGGUGCAAGCCUGUAGGCGGGGGAUCUAGGCAAAUCCGGAUCCCUGUAAACGCUGAGAGGUGAUGCCGAUCCGUUAAGCGGAGCAAAGUGGCUGAUCCCAUGCUACCAAGAAAAGCCUCUAGCGAGUUUACCUGGUGACCGUACCGCAAACCGACACAGGUAGGCGAGGAGAGAAUCCUGAGGCGCUUGAGCGAACCCUGGUUAAGGAACUCGGCAAAAUGACACCGUAACUUCGGGAGAAGGUGUGCCCUCGGUAGGUGAAGCGGCUAGCCCGUGGAGCCGAUGGGGGUUGCAGAGACCAGGCGGUGGCGACUGUUUACUAAAAACACAGGACUCUGCGAAGUCGUAAGACGAAGUAUAGGGUCUGACGCCUGCCCGGUGCCGGAAGGUUAAGGGGAGGGGUGAGAGCCCUGAACCGAAGCCCCGGUAAACGGCGGCCGUAACUAUAACGGUCCUAAGGUAGCGAAAUUCCUUGUCGGGUAAGUUCCGACCUGCACGAAUGGCGUAACGACUGCC